rnacentral:sRNA from 1 species
GCCAGAUGUGGUGAUGCAAACCUGUAAUCCCAGCAACUUGGGAGGCUGAGGCAGGAGAAUCACAAGUUCAAAGCCAGCCUCAGCAACUUAGGGAGACCCUGUCUCUA